UACGGAGGAUCCGAGCGUUAUCCGGAUUUAUUGGGUUUAAAGGGUGCGUAGGCGGCUCAUUAAGUCAGGGGUGAAAUACGGCAGCUCAACUGUCGCAGUGCCUUUGAUACUGAUGAGCUUGAAUGCGGUUGAAGACGGCGGAAUGAGACAAGUAGCGGUGAAAUGCAUAGAUAUGUCUCAGAACACCGAUUGCGAAGGCAGCUGUCUAAGCCGUUAUUGACGCUGAUGCACGAAAGCGUGGGGAUCGAACAGG
rnacentral:rRNA from 1 species